rnacentral:rRNA from 1 species
UGCGCAGGCGGUAAAUUAAGUCUGACGUGAAAGCUCCUGGCUUAACUGGGAGAGGUCGUUGGAAACUGAGUUACUUGAGGCAAUGAGAGGGAUGCGGAAUUCCCGGUGUAGUGGUGGAAUGCGUAGAUAUCGGGAGGAACACCAGUGGCGAAAGCGGCAUCCUGGCAUUGGCCUGACGCUGAAGUACGAAAGCGUGGGGAGCGAACG